UACGUAGGGGGCAAGCGUUGUCCGGAUUUAUUGGGCGUAAAGAGCGUGUAGGCGGCUUGGUAGGUCCGCUGUGAAAACUCGAGGCUCAACCUCGAGAUGUCGGCGGAAACCACUUGGCUAGAGUCCGGAAGAGGAGAGUGGAAUUCCUGGUGUAGCGGUGAAAUGCGCAGAUAUCAGGAGGAACACCUGUGGUGUAGACGGCUCUCUGGACCGCAACUGACGCUGAGACACGAAAGCGUGGGUAGCAAACAGG
rnacentral:rRNA from 1 species